AACGGCCCACCAAGUCGACGAUCAGUAGCCGGACUGAGAGGUUGAUCGGCCACAUUGGGACUGAGACACGGCCCAGACUCCUACGGGAGGCAGCAGUGGGGGAUAUUGCACAAUGGAGGAAACUCUGAUGCAGCGACGCCGCGUGAGGGAAGACGGUUUUCGGAUUGUAAACCUCUGUCUUCAGGGAAGAAACAAAUGACGGUACCUGAAGAGGAAGCCACGGCUAACUAC
rnacentral:rRNA from 1 species